UCUUCCGAGUAAGCUACAGAAUGUUAGCACAAGGUCUUUGUGACAUCUAUCCUGGUUAACAAAAGCCUGUUACAACCUUCUAUGGAGGAAUGAAUUCAUCCAUUCCUUGCGGUAUAAGGCAGGAUGGAGAGAAAACAAAGUGAAGUGUCCCUGGAGAUGGAGAGAACUUUCCUGGUAACCCCCUCACAAUGAGCACCUGUGGGGGCAGCAGGACCAGCAAAGGAAGACGAGCAGAGUAUAUAGAAUGUGUCUGAUCAAGCAGAUCACGGGAAAAGGCUGAGAAACAAGAUCCCUGGGAGUGGAGUCCAAUAGAUGUCAGCAUGCAAAGUCCUGAUAAGAAAUGAGAUGGUCACAACUUGAUGCCAUAAAGCAGCAAAUAGGAUCUCUGAGAAAUAGUGGGGGAAAUCUCAAGGGUAGGCUCUAGUGAAGGGGUGCAUCCUACUGCCAGGACCCCGGCAGGCUGUGGAGGGGGCUAAUCCUGCGUGUGGGGACAGCCCGGGGGACAUCUCCCCACACGAGGAUGGCCAGAAGAAAGGGAAAGAGAGGGAUGCCACCGAAGAAGGGUGGAAGGGAUAGAAAACCACCUUUGGAGGAGAGAGUUGCAUGUUAUUUCAGGAGAGGCUACAAUCCAGACCACUUCAUGACCCCAGAAACCACGCUACUGGCAUUCUAGAAUAAAACAGACCAAUCUACUGCA